UAGGGAAUCUUCCGCAAUGGACGCAAGUCUGACGGAGCAACGCCGCGUGAGUGAAGAAGGUUUUCGGAUCGUAAAACUCUGUUGUAAGAGAAGAACAAAUUGUAGAGUAACUGCUACAGUCUUGACGGUAUCUUACCAGAAAGCCACGGCUAACUACGUGCCAGCAGCCGCGGUAAUACGUAGGUGGCAAGCGUUGUCCGGAAUUAUUGGGCGUAAAGCGCGCGCAGGUGGUUUAGAAAGUCUGAUGUGAAAGCCCACGGCUCAACCGUGGAGGGUCAUUGGAAACUAAUAAACUUGAGUGCAGGAGAGAAAAGUGGAAUUCCUAGUGUAGCGGUGAAAUGCGUAGAGAUUAGGAGGAACACCGGUGGCGAAAGCGGCUUUUUGGCCUGCAACUGACACUGAGGCGCGAAAGCGUGGGGAGCAAACAGG
rnacentral:rRNA from 1 species